GCACCGGCUAACUCCGUGCCAGCAGCCGCGGUAAUACGGAGGGUGCGAGCGUUAAUCGGAAUUACUGGGCGUAAAGCGCAUGUAGGCGGCCUGUUAAGUCAGAUGUGAAAGACCCGGGGCUUAACCUCGGAAUUGCAUUUGAAACUGGCAGGCUAGAGUCUUGUAGAGGGGGGUAGGAAUUUCAGGUGUAGCGGUGAAAUGCGUAGAGAUCUGAAGGAAUACCAGUGGCGAAGGCGGCCCCCUGGACAAAGACUGACGCUCAGAUGCGAAAGCGUGGGGAGCAAACAGGAUUAGAUACCCUGGUAG
rnacentral:rRNA from 1 species